GUACUGACCCUACGGGGGGCAGCAGUGGGGAAUAUUGCACAAUGGGGGAAACCCUGAUGCAGCAACGCCGCGUGAGUGAUGACGGUCUUCGGAUUGUAAAGCUCUGUCUUUGGGGACGAUAAUGACGGUACCCAAGGAGGAAGCCACGGCUAACUACGUGCCAGCAGACGCGGGAAUACGUAGGUGGCAAGCGUUGACCGGAUUUACUGGGCGUAAAGGGAGAGGGGGCGGAUUUUGAAGUGGGUGGGAGACGGCUGU
rnacentral:rRNA from 1 species